GAGUAAGAGAGGGGUGGUGGUACUAGCUGCUGCUGCUGUCUGGGUGGAGUAGCUGAAAAACAGUGUGCAAGAAGGAAGAGAAGAAGUUCAAGCCCCAGGGUACAAGAUAUGCUAAAAAUCUGCACAGGUUCAAAAAGUGACUGGAAAAAAAAAAAAAACACUGAAGAAAAUCCUUGGAGGAAAGAAAUCUGUCACAUAGAAAGAUUCCUCCUCAGUUUGAGGAAAUCCUUGAACGACAAAUAGCUGCAGGCUGGGAAGUCAUUCUGGAAGUGAAAUAUACCAAGGGCUGGAAAGGUUGAUACUAAAAACAACGGUGACCUGGAUGUACCAAGUGUAGCAAGAGGAAUGGCUCCUGCCUUCUUGCAGUGGGUCUGCCUGCGAAGCACAGGGACAUCUUUGGGAACGGGAAUGACAGUUGAAGGCAUGAGCUGCAUGAUCCCCGACAGAUCAAUUUUUAUAACUUUAGAACAAUGAAAGAAGCAUAACAUAUUAUAAAUUUAAAUUACCCUGCAUGAUCUUAACUCUACAGAUGCAAAGGUCAUUAAAUAAUGUCAUUCUCAGCCGCACGCCACAGGGAGCUAUCUAUCACAUAUUAUCUAGCAUUCUGAUGGAAGUAAAAAUGAUUAAUUUUUACUGUCUCUUGUAUAAUUUACUUAUUAAUGUUACGUGCAGGACAAUACGGGCUUGAUAAUUUGGCUAAAUGCAUAUUGAAACUGAGCUUUAUAUUUUUCUCUGAAGAGAAAUCUGUUACAGCUAAUGCAUGCUAGUAAUAAAAUAGUUUAGAUGUAAAAACUUGGUUUGA